rfam:Mesocricetus auratus contig143378, whole genome shotgun sequence.
GGAUGGUCUCCCUGGGAGCCAGACAGGAUUCUGCACAUAGAUAGGAUCAUCUCGCUCUUCAAUACCAGAUGCUCAGCUCUUUUGGCUUUUUAUCUGUUAGCAUGGCUGCUAGUUACAUUGUUGCUUACCCUGCUUUAGGGCAG